UGCACGCUCUGUGUAGGAGUAACACAUCUUCUUUCUCCCCUCACGCUCUCCUGUGGAAAUUAAGAACAGUCUCCGGUGAUGUAAGCCCAUCUGCAAAAUCAGUCCAGAGAUGUACGCCGGCACAGAUCCUUACUACUGCCUACAUUUCCUACCAGCUCUUCAGCUGCUCUCUCCCUGUUUCCUGGGCCUCAUCUGGACAAUUCUGAUAUCUACCCUUCCCUCCCUGCGAGACCACAUCUGCUGUUGCAUACAGAGUGCUAAUCCCACAUGGAUUCCUCCCUGAAAACAAAAUCUGAGAUGGAAAAGGUCAUAGUACAUCACUCAUGCAGAUGCUUGACCCUGGCCAGUGCCCAGCAUUGUAGCUCCAAGGUGAUAUGCUGAACACUCCCCAAAUGGUGACCCAAGUGACACAGACACACAGUCCAGGCAAAAAGGACCGAGUGGAUCACUGAAAAAAAUCCUGGAAGUAUUCCUGAAUGUUUGCACUGACCUCCAGAAUAAACAGCCAUCUCCCUGCAAGUUAAGCAUUUUCAUCAGUCAGAGGGUGUAGCUCAGUAACUGCUGUGACAGUGCCUGUGU